rnacentral:rRNA from 1 species
AUUGAACGCUGGCGGCAAGCCUAACACAUGCAAGUCGAACGAGUGGCGGACGGGUGCGUAAUGUCUGGGAAACUGCCUGCUGGAGGGGGAUAACUACUGGAAACGGUAGCUAAUACCGCAUACCAUCGGAUGUGCCCAGAUGGGAUUAGCUAGUAGGGGGGGUAAAGGCUCACCUAGGCGACGAUCCCUAGCUGGUCUGAGAGGAUGACCAGCAACACGGGAACUGAGACAUGGUCCAGACUCCUACGGUAGGAAGCAGUGGGGAAUAUUGCACAAUGGGCGCAAGCCUGAUGCAGCCAUGCCGCGUGUAUGAAGAAGGCCUUCGGGUUGUAAAGUACUGUCAGCGGGGAGGCGUUACCCGCAGAAGAAGCACCGGCUAACUCCGUGCCAGCAGCCGCGGUAAUUC